CAACAAACAAAAAUAACUUACCUUUUAGCUGCUCCUUGUGCUAAAUAUUAGCGAACAUCGAUUUGUUUUUAGGUCUUCAAUAAAGAAUAACGUCAGGUCUCAGCAUAAAAUGCCACAUUCUUCUCAUAGACCCCUGUAAAUAGGCUAAAAGUGCAGUAAAUCGUUUGAAUUAACACAAACACACCAGUCUAAAUGCAGCCAUACAAGCUGCAGUGUUUCAGAAGGCUUCAGUCAUCAUGCUCUCCAGUUUCUCCUCUUCUGCAGUAACGGGUACAGUAAAAUGUCUUGUGAAAUACGACAUUUCUAUUUUUCCUGACUCGUGUGCCAGUGCUACUCCUGAAUAUGUGUUUUGUUGUCCUGAGUCUCCAAACACAGCCAUGGCUAUCACCCUGAGGGGAGAA